UCUCCUCCCCGACACCCUCGCACAGUCGUGCCCUACCCCGACCUCGACCCGAUCUGGUUCUACCACGCCCAGCCCCCAGUCGUUCCUCGCCGCCGGUCGCGCCCCCGUCGUUCCUUGUCGUCGGUCGCACCCCCGUCACCGUCGAGGAAGCUCCCACCUUUCCUUCGGUCCUCCGAGUCCUCCGCCUGUCCGCGACCUGCCCCUGCUCUUCUCCUUGCUCCAACCAACGCCUCCCUCCCCUACUUGUUGCUCGGUUGCUCCAGCGUGCGGUUGCGGGCAGCGCCACUGCCGCCGGCCAGCGCCCCAGCCCUCGCGGCCUCGCCCCCCUUCUUAGGCCUUAGGUUUGUUGUAAAAUGAAGAGGGGCGGAGACAUUGUUUCUCUUUUUCAGAAAGAAGCCAUGAGGACAGGGGAGGAAAAGAAGGCGGUGAAUAUGCUGGAUGUGGCUGAAGAGUAAACUGGAGAACUUGUGUGUAUGCCGGUUGUGAUCGAAGAGCAAACUGAAGAACCAGCAUUGUCUAUGUCGAGUGUGACCAUAGAGCAAACUAAAGAUGCAUCAUCGCCUUCACCACCGGUUUAUGAUUUCAGUCGUCUUAAACAUGAUACCGUGGAAAGGAUACCCAUUGCAAGUUAUCUUGUCAAUGAUCAAGACACAGUUCGAAGAGCACAUAUCCUUAAAAAUACAUUCAAACCUUAUGCACAUGACUUUGAAAAAAGAUCAAUUGGGAGUAGAGAACGUUUGUUCAAUCCUUUGUGGCUUCAUAGUCAUAGUUGGCUUGAAUAUAGUAGCAAGAAGAAAUCUGCAUUUUGCUUUGUAUGUUACUUGUUCAAAGAGAAAAAUAAACUAGUGGUAAGGGAACUAAUGCAUUUACUGAUGGUGGUUGGGGAAUUGGAAUAGAGAGGAUGCUCUUCUUAAGCAUGUUGGUUGUGUAACAAGUGUGCACAAUGCAACUCAAGAGAGAUAUAACUUAUUUGUGAA